rnacentral:rRNA from 1 species
CCAAUAGCGUAUAUUAAAGUUGUUGCAGUUAAAAAGCUCGUAGUUGAAUUUCGGGGUUAGUAGGUUGGUCAUGCCACUGGUAUGUACUGAUCUUACUGAUUCCUCCUUCCUGAUGAACCGUAAUGCCAUUAAUUUGGUGUUGCGGGGAGACUGGACUGUUACUUUGAAAAAAUUAGAGUGUUUAAAGCAGGCUAACGCUUGAAUACAUUAGCAUGGAAUAAUGAAAUAGGACGUUCGAUCCUAUUUUGUUGGUUUCUAGGAUUGACGUAAUGAUUAAUAGGGAUAGUUGGGGGCAUUAGUAUUCAAUUGUCAGAGGUGAAAUUCUUGGAUUUAUUGAAGACUAACUACUGCGAAAGCAUUUGCCAAGGAUGUUUUCAUUAAUCAAGAACGAAAGUUAGGGGAUCGAAGACGAUCAGAUACCGUCUUAGUCUUAACCAUAAACUAUGCCGACUAGGGAUCGGAUGAUGUUAACUUUUUAAUGACUCAUUCGGCGCCUUACG